GGAGGUAGUGACGAAAAAUAACAAUAUAGAACUAAUCAUUUAGUUCUGUAAUUGGAAUGAAUCAAGUAUAAAUCCUUUAAUGAGGAUCCAGUGGAGGGCAAGUCUGGUGCCAGCAGCCGCGGUAAUUCCAGCUCCACUAGCGUAUAUUAAAAUUGUUGCGGUUAAAACGUUCGAAGUUGAUUAUUGUUCAGUACGGGUGUAGCGCCAUCAAGUAAAUGGCUGCUAUCAUUUCCGAUUACUUGAACUAUAUGACUGAACACUUAAUGAAUAGCAUCGAUACCUUUAAUUAGGCUAGGUGUCUAUUUAGUUCGGCUUACUUUUACCUUGAACAAAUUAAGGUGCUCAAAGCAGGCUCUUAUGCCUUGAAUAUUUUUGCAUGGAAUAAUGGAAAAAGACCUCGGUCUUAUAGNCUGUGCGCGUUAAAACGUGCAGUCGCUUUCUAUUGGUUUGAUACAGAUCAAGAGGUAAUGA
rnacentral:rRNA from 1 species